GACGAACGCUGGCGGCGUGCUUAACACAUGCAAGUCGAACGGAAAGGCCCUGCUUUUGUGGGGUGCUCGAGUGGCGAACGGGUGAGUAGCACGUGAGUAACCUGCCCUUGACUUUGGGAUAACUUCAGGAAACUGGGGCUAAUACCGGAUAGGAGCUCCUGCUGCAUGGUGGGGGUUGGAAAGUUUCGGCGGUUGGGGAUGGACUCGCGGCUUAUCAGCUUGUUGGUGGGGUAGUGGCUUACCAAGGCUUUGACGGGUAGCCGGCCUGAGAGGGUGACCGGCAACCUAUGUACUGUGCAACGGCCCAGGUGUGGAGGGGAGGGCGCGGGGGGCAAGAGGGCAGAGGGGGGGGAGGGCUGAUGCAGAGACGCGGGGGUGGUGCUGCCGGUCGUGGGUGUCAAAACCUUUUCCGCCGGGGACGAGGCGUGAGGGGGGGAAAGGGGAAAAGCAGCAGCGGAAAACUAGGGACGAGGGGGAGCUGAAAGAGAGAGAAGGACCCGCUUGAAC
rnacentral:rRNA from 1 species